rfam:Rhodanobacter sp. FW510-R10 contig83, whole genome shotgun sequence.
GCCCAGGUGGCGGAACUGGUAGACGCACUACCUUGAGGUGGUAGCGCCGCAAGGCGUAGGGGUUCGAGUCCCCUCUUGGGCA